GGGUCCGGGACGGCGGGGCCUCCGCAGGGCGCCUGGCCCUUGGUGACCUCGGCGGAGACCGCGGGCUGCGCGGCGGAAAGCGGAGGAACUCCCGUCCGGCCCCGGAGUCGCCCGCGCCGCGCCCGGAGCCACCCGCCGCCCCUUCGCGUCCGGGCGCUCCAGGCGCGGGGCCCCAGAGGCUCCCGGUCCCUGGCCUCCCCUACUGGGUUCGGGGCAGUUGGCCGUGGACGCGCCCCAAGUCCAGUCCCUUCCGUCCAGCCGCCCGCCCCAGGAUGUCCCCCCACCGCAGCCCCGCCGUGGCCAGGAGGUGUGGGCGGCCACGCCGGAGGGACCCACGGCGGCACCGGACGUCAGCCCUUCGUAGGCCCUGACCCGGCCCGGGUGGGCCGGGACGUUCCCUGUUGCACAGGCAUUUAUUUAUUCAGCAGCUACUACGUGCUGGCCGGCACUGCCGAGGGACCGGACGCCUGCCCCAGGCGGGACAAUGCCGGGAGCAGCGCUAGCGGGUUCUGGACGUCCAGCUUCAGGGUCCCCAGCCCCUCAGCCUGAGGGGCGCCUCCCAGGCCCUGGACUCCUCUCCAGCCGGGUCUACACCACCGUCCCCCGUCAUCUUCUUCUGGGUUACUGAGCAGCUUCUUUUAAAAUAGCAACACCGAGGAAGGCCCCGAAGCCCAGUCUUGCACCUCGUGGUGUGAAGUCGUUUAAUCCUGCCCGCUAAUGCGAAAGGACUUUCCACCGUGUGCAGGACUCGGCGCUGGGCAGGGGCUCUCGCAGGGUUUGAACCGACCUCCGCCUCCGCCUGCGGGUUCACAGGCCGGCGAGGGAGUCCCGGGAAGGAGACGCGCUACUGUGCGAGGCUGGCCUGAGCGGCUUGGGCAGUGGUUGUCCGGGGCUGGGGACGGCUUUCGGCUCCCCAGGCCAUUCCGUCGGGGUAUCUGCGGCCAAUCUCGAAGGUGAAGAGGCUCAGGGUUGGCACAGACUUCACGGGAGGGGUCCUAGAAGGGGAAAGGGGUGAUAUUUGCCCUUAGCGCAGUCUGGGCGUGACGCGGAAACUUUAAAUCACCAGAACCUCUGGAGAGCUUGGAGCACCUGGGAAGGAGCAACCAGAGUGGGCCGGAGUUAGGGAAGGAAGGCAUCGCGGCGAAUUCGCCCGCUUUGACCGCCUUUAGGGCGGCCGCUUGUGCAGCCAGCCUUCUGGAAGGUAGGCUUUGCGCUUGGUGCAGAGAAGCCCCCUCCUCCGGAUCUGUGUUCCGCCCCAGUCCAUGAAUAAGGAGGUGAUCGCACAAGUCAAGCUUCUCUAGUUCUCGGUGGAAUGAGACGCCCUUAUGGGGUCUUAAGGUUGAAUGUUUGAAUACUGUAAAAAAGAUGGGACCUACCUACAAAUAAUCUCUUACACUACUGAGCAAAUGUGCGUUGCUGUGGACUUCUCUAAAUUGGCCCAAAUGCAUAGCCAGCGCUUGCAUUGUGGUGUACUAACAACAUCAUUCAGAACCAAACCAAACCAUUCUUAUUUAAACCUUGCUUCCUAGUUUAUUUUUUCCCAAACAAGUUGAAAACAUUUGUUAUACUAAAAUGUCUACAUCUUAUUACUUUAAAAAAAAAAAGUAACAAA